GGAACGGGGGUGGAGCCGUAGCGUCGGCCCGCGGAAUUCAGCCCGGCGCGGUCCGGGGUCGGCUCGGGGGACGUCCGCGAUCCUUUGGACGCGCGCCUCCGAGGCCGGCUCGACACCGGGUGCACUUUCCGCGGGCAGAGAGUCUCGAUCGGCCGGCGGGCGACCAGGCGGCCCGGGGCAAGUCAGGCGCGGCGGGGGGCGCUCGCGCGCUCUUCGUCGCGCCGUUGUCAGGCCCCGGGAAAGAAGGCUCGCUUCUCGAAGCCGGCCGAGGAACUGCGGCCCCGUGCGGCUGCGGGCCCACGCGUCGGAGUCACGACUGAGAGGGACCGGGCAACCGUGCCUCUCGACCGCUCCGGCGUGAACGGCGCCCGCGCACGCUGCCGGGGAUGCCAGGAUCAGAGGCCGAUCGGUCGGCGACCCACCCGACCCGUCUUGAAACACGGACCAAGGAGUCUAACGUGCGCGCGAGUCGUCGAGUCGUACGAAACUCGAAGGCGCAGUGAAAGCGAGGGAGGUCCUCCGGACUUCCCAGGCGAGAUCCCCCGGCCCGCGCCGGGGGCGCACCGCCGGCCCGUCUCGCGGUCGUCGGACCUGAGGCGGAGCUAGAGCGCGCGCGCUGGGACCCGAAAGAUGGUGAACUAUGCCUGGGCAGGACGAAGCCAGAGGAAACUCUGGUGAAAGUCCGCAGCGAUUCUGACGUGCAAAUCGAUCGUCGAAUCUGGGUAUAGGGGCGAAAGACUAAUCGAACCAU
rnacentral:rRNA from 1 species